rnacentral:rRNA from 1 species
GACAGAGGAGCCAAGCGUUGUCCGGAUUGACUGGGCGUAAAGCGCACGCAGGCGGGUGCGCACGUGGGGUGUGAAAUCGGCGCGCUUAACGCGCCAUCGCCAUCCCAUACGGCGCGCCUGGAGCCUUGCAGAGGGCGGUGGAAUUGCCGGUGUAGUGGUGAAAUACUUAGAUAUGACACAGAACUCCGAUUGCGAAGGCAGCUCACUAAACUGUAACUGACGCUGAGGCACGAAAGCGUGGGGAUCAAACAGG